rnacentral:rRNA from 1 species
AGUGAACGCUGGCGGUAGGCCUAACACAUGCAAGUCGAACGGCAGCACAGGAGAGCUUGCUCUCUGGGUGGCGAGUGGCGGACGGGUGAGGAAUACAUCGGAAUCUACUCUGUCGUGGGGGAUAACGUAGGGAAACUUACGCUAAUACCGCAUAUGACCUACGGGUGAAAGCAGGGGACCUUCGGGCCUUGCGCGAUUGAAUGAGCCGAUGUCGGAUUAGCUAGUUGGCGGGGUAAAGGCCCACCAAGGCGACGAUCCGUAGCUGGUCUGAGGGGGAGAUCAGCCACAAUGGGACUGAGACACGGUCCAGACUCCUACGGGAGGGAGCAGUGGGGAAUAUUGGAAAAUGGGCGCAAGCCUGAUCCAGCCAUACCGCGUGGGUGAAGAAGGCCUUCGGGUUGUAAAGCCCUUUUGUUGGGAAAGAAAUCCAGCUGGCUAAUACCCGGUUGGGAUGACGGUACCCAAAGAAUAAGCACCGGCUAACUUCGUGCCAGCCGCCGCCGUAA